UACGUAGGGUGCAAGCGUUGUCCGGAAUUAUUGGGCGUAAAGAGCUCGUAGGCGGUUCGUCGCGUCGGCUGUGAAAACCCGGAGCUCAACUCCGGGCCUGCAGUCGAUACGGGCGGACUGAGUGUUGCAGGGGAGACUGGAAUUCCUGGUGUAGCGGUGAAAUGCGCAGAUAUCAGGAGGAACACCGGUGGCGAAGGCGGAUCUCUGGGCCUUACCUGACGCUGAGGCGCGAAAGCUAGGGGAGCGAACGG
rnacentral:rRNA from 1 species